AAGAAAAAAAGAAAGCGGGGCAGUUGUAGAUGUGUAGAAGUCCCAGUUCCAGUCAAGACACAAAGCCAAAGAUGAAGGAAUCUUUGGUUGUAUCCCAUUACGUAUAUCUGAUUUUAAUUGAGUAUACUCUAAGUAGUGAGGAUGAGAAAAUCACUCAGUGAUUGAACACACACAUGAGUGCACGCCUCCCUCCCCCCCCCCAUAUCCUAUCUCUACAUAUGUGCAUGAAGAUGUAGCUCAGUUGUCAGAGAGCUUCUCUUGUAUGCUCUGGGUUGCAUCCCCAGUAACACAUAAACCUGAUGUGGGUGUGGCAGUAAUCCCAGAAAAGUAAAGUAGGAAGAUGUGCAGUUAAGUAUUGAAUUUUAAACCAUCCUAGGAUAUAUGAGACCAUGUCUGUAAAACAAAACAAAACACAAAACAAACAAAAGCCAAGAAAAAAAACCAAAGUAGUCUUAUUCAGGAGAAGGGAGGCAUAUAAAAACCACUUACGUAUUUGUGUAAAAAUUUACUUAGUUCUAAAUAUCAGGAAAGCUAUGAAAUGGCAUUACAUACAUAGCAUUUGACCCCCAACAUUCAACAUUGUAUUAACAUCACAGAACACUAUCCAGGGCUGUCCAGACGGCUUAGGAGGUAAAGGUGCCUGCCACACAUACCCGGAGGCUUCCAUUUUGUUGCCAGAAGCCCUUUAAUAAUAGAAACUGGAGCAGGGAGUGGUGGUUCAAGCUUAUAAUACCAGUAAAUGAGAGGCUGAGGCAGGAGGAUUAAGAACUCAAGACCAGCUUUAGCCAAGUGACAAACUAGAGGCCUAACUAGGUUAUGAAACUGUCUGAAAACACUAGAACUACUACUGCAAGUUCUUAUAACAUUAUUAGAAAUUUAGACGCUUUAGUACAAAUUAUGAAUUUAUUCAUUGAUGCUCUUUAGAUACUAUAUUCUAUAAGUAAUAUUGGUACUUCAUCUGUAAUGUCUAGCAUCCCUCUUCCCCUCCCCCACUGUAAAAUGUCUUCUUAUAACAGUCAUCGUUUUAGUCUAUUUGGAAUUGUGCUGCCUGCUCUGGACAUCGGUGGUGUUAAGAAACUGUCCAAAGCCAGGUGGUGGUGGCACACACCUUCAACCUCAGCACUCUCAGAUGGCAGAGAAAAGUGGAUGGAUCUCUUUUAAGUUUUAGGCUAGCCUGGUCUCCAGAAUAAGUUCCAGGACAGCCACAGCUACAAAUAAAAACCCUGUUUCAAAAACAAACAGUCCAAAGCCAGCCCAACAAGGAACCUGUCCAACACACAUCCUAGUGCUUCUAGGACUGCACUUUCUUAGGCUUUGGACCCUCUGCACCGACAUUCUUUAUAUCACCAAGAUUGUUCACUUCUAAGCAUUGUUUGGAGCUGCUACUCAGAAAGGAAGACUUCCAAAAAAUGACCGGUAUUCCUAGGGAAUGCUGUAAAAUGAGGCCUUGCCAAUACAGUAGCUCUCGGUGGCAGUAAUCCCGUGUUUAAUGGGAAAGCAGGCUAUAGUACCAGAGUGGCUCAUUUUAACACAUUCUAUGUACAGAAUUUCUAAGGACCUUCUUAAUAGUCACUGGCUUUGCAGUUGGGGCACAUCUAUAAUCCUAGAACUCAGGAAGCUUACACAGGAGGAUUGCUGGGAGUUCUGGUUCUCAUUUAAAAAAAAAAACACAACAACUCAACAACUAAACAACUAAACAAACAACCCCCAAACAAAAACUCAUUGGUUCAAAAACUAAUCUCUAGCUAGAAACUGUUAUAAUAAAUAUAGGAAGUAUGUGUAAUGAGUUUUUAUAGUUUGUAUGUAAUAUUUAUUGUUUUUAUAUAACUAAUUACUUUUAUUUUUUUGAGACAGGAUCUCGUAUAGCCAAAGCUGGCCUCAAAUUUAUUCUGAAUUCGAGGCAUACACCAUCAAACCCAGCUCUAAAAUUCUGUUUUGGGGGCAGGGUAUCAUAUUGUCCAGGCUGGCUUCAACCUACUGGAAGAUGAACAUGAACCUAUUAUGACUUUGCCUUGACCAAGUUCCAAGAUUACAGGUGACACCAGUGAAUUGCCCUGCCCAGCACAGUAAGUUCUUGAAGAGGAGAAAAUAGAUCGCACCAUCUCCCCCAUGCGUCCUUCCUACCUAUUUUAUGUGCUUCACAUCAUACAAGGAAAAGGAUUCAGCAGAGCCAUCCGUACACACACACGGCUUUGCUUUUAAUUCUGAUGGCAGCUAGCACACAUGGAAUAUUACUCAGUCACUGCUAAUUCUUUAAACAUUUUCUCUGAAUCGCUAAGCCAUUGUGUUGAACAAAGACAAAACACAAACAGCAAACCAACCUUCUACGUCAUAAGCUCCUAAAGUGGAAUUUAGAAGAAAGCAAAACUGGCUCUGGAGAGAUGGAUCACUGGCUAAAGUGCUCACUGCUCUCGCCAAGGGACUGAAUUGGGUUCCCAGCACCCACGUCAGGUGUUUUACAACCCUCUGUAAUUCCAGUUUCAGGGGCUCCAACUCUUCUGGCCUCUGCUGAACUUACACAUAUAUGCACUCCUAUUAUGAAAGAUCAUAAAAUGUAUCUUUUUUAAAAAGGAAGGGAAAACCAAUUUAUAGAGAUCAAAAGAGUACAGAGGCCCAAGCAGAGGAGGGGGAGAGAUUUCCAGGUUGUUAAGAAUGCUUUAUAUUUUACCUUUUUCUUUAAAGAGCGUUGCUUAUUCAGAUGGAUAUGUGUGCCUAAAUUUAUCCAACUAUAUUCUAAAGGUAAAUGAAAGCUUUAAAAAUCCAAGACAGCAGGCUUCUGCUUGUAAGCACAAUGGCAGUAAAGGGUCUUCUCUUGGAAAUUCUGGGAAGAUUCCACAGAGUCCAAGAGAAUGUGGCAGAAUUCCCAGAGUAUCCCAUAGAAGAGCGUGUGAUCUCUUUGUAUUUAUCUCGUGCUCCAGAAACAAACCAUUAAAAUACUAAAUAAUUGUGACCCAAUGGGACUCACUUGCUUCUAUAGGAUGAGAAAAUGCCUUAGCUUCUCUGUGUGUUAUCCCUGGAGAAUCUGUGUGUGUCUAAGCAUACAAGGAGACUUUCACAAUAAAAAUUCAUUGGCAUUCAGAACCCACUCUUACAAACUCAUGAAGGACUGUAAGCAUUCUUAAGCAGAACAUAAUUUAAACAAUUUCUAUGAAUGUAAAAGCUGGUAAGGCUUUGACCAGUAAGGAUGCUGAAGCAUAUUAGUAUUGGAAACACACAACCAUGGCCACGUGAGCCUUCACUCAAGUAAAGGCAACUUCCUGGGUAUAAGCUCUGUAUAGGUAGAAGUAAUGGGUGAAGAUCUAAAGGGUGGGGGAAGGCCACUCUGAGACCAGAUACAUCGUCUGCCUGUGCACAGCCCUGUCUGAGACCUUCAGCCAGCUCUAGGUGUAGUGGAACAGAGGUGAUGUGCUUCAGGUGUUCCACAGGUCCUGUGACAGGCUGAUUAGAUAUUAAUCAGAACUAGAAACAGGAAAGCAGGGGAAACGCUGCCUGGCCUACAAGGGGAUGGGAAGGCAGUAUGUGGCUUGCUGAUCUGUUUCCUGUAGAGGAAUCAAAGAGGACAAUGCCACUGACCUUCCUGCCCCCCACCUCUUCACAGAUCCUCACUGUCUGCUUCCCUGCCCAUUUAGCUGGAAUGUCUGCCCUGGGAUUGUGCUAUGGUAAAACGACGAACAGGGUUCUGUUCUGGUGAGUUAGUGGCCUCUUCCCUUUGAGGUUAAGGGAUGAUGAGAUGGCAAGAAAUACUUCUUUUUUUUCCUUUCAGGAAUGUAUUCAGUGUCCUACACUUCCUUUAAUGUUUUCAGAUGUUCUGAAGUGCUCACUGAGACACUUAAAUCGGACAAGCAAAUUAGGUCCAUUUCACCACAUUUCGGCCAGGCACAGUGGCUCAGCCGUAAUCCCAACACUCGGGAAACCAGGACAGAAAGAAGCUUUGGCUACACACUGAAUCCUCCAGACCAGCCUGGGCUACUGAGUGAGAACCUGUCUUUAAAACAGAAAUGAAAGGCUGACCACAUAUAUAGCACAGCAGGUAAAGCCUGGGGGUCUGGGCUGGAUUCUUAGCUCCUAAGUCAAAAAAAAAGAAGUCAAAAAAAGUAGGAAGUUCUCUCCACUGAGUCCACAGCAUCUGACUUCCAUAUGUGUGUGGGUCAUGGCAUGAGUGUGCACGUGCACACACACACACACACACACA